rnacentral:rRNA from 1 species
CCUACGGGGGGCAGCAGUGGGGAAUAUUGGACAAUGGGGGGAACCCUGAUCCAGCCAUGCCGCGUGUGUGAAGAAGGCCCUCGGGUUGUAAAGCACUUUCAGUGAGGAAGAACGCCUGGUGGUUAAUACCCAUCAGGAAAGACAUCACUCACAGAAGAAGCACCGGCUAACUCCGUGCCAGCAGCCGCGGUAAUACGGAGGGUGCGAGCGUUAAUCGGAAUUACUGGGCGUAAAGCGCGCGUAGGUGGCUUGAUAAGCCGGUUGUGAAAGCCCCGGGCUCAACCUGGGAACGGCAUACGGAACUGUCAAGCUAGAGUGCAGGAGAGGAAGGUAGAAUUCCCGGUGUAGCGGUGAAAUGCGUAGAGAUCGGGAGGAAUACCAGUGGCGAAGGCGGCCUUCUGGACUGACACUGACACUGAGGUGCGAAAGCGUGGGUAGCAAACAGGAUUAGAUACCCGUGUAGUC